CAAGUGAGCAAAGCAAGAAAAUAUCCAUCUAGCAAGGGCAGAAAGGCCUCCAAACAUCACAACAGACAAGAAAGGAUUUGCUGAGAGAGAUAACAUAAAGGCAUAAGAAAAGGGGACUAGACCUCUUCAAGGUCUCCUAGAGGAGAGAAAGAGUGAGAUAAGCAGGUAGAGAAAAGAU